rnacentral:rRNA from 1 species
UGAGGAAUAUUGGUCAAUGGACGGAAGUCUGAACCAGCCAUGCCGCGUGCAGGACGACGGCUCUAUGAGUUGUAAACUGCUUUUUUAAGGGAAUAAAAGGAGAUACGCGUAUUUCUUUGCAAGUACCUUACGAAUAAGGAUCGGCUAACUCCGUGCCAGCAGCCGCGGUAAUACGGAGGAUCCGAGCGUUAUCCGGAUUUAUUGGGUUUAAAGGGUGCGUAGGUUGCCAUUUAAGUCAGCGGUAAAAUCGUGGGGCUCAACCCCAUUUAGCCGUUGAAACUGGGAGGCUAGAGAUUGGAUGCAGCAGGCGGAAUGUGUAGUGUAGCGGUGAAAUGCAUAGAUAUUACACAGAACACCGAUUGCGAAGGCAGCUUGCUAAACCAUAUCUGACACUGAUGCACGAAAGCGUGGGGAUCAAACA